CUUGCGUUAGCGAUUAGCGCUAAUACACGUUAGCAUUAAUAUACGGUUAAUUCUGGCUUUUACAACGUUCAUGCUUGGCUGCACACUACUACAAUAGUUUUCGCAUAUUGCCAGAAAGCGCAAUAAACGCUCUCACAUGAAAAAGUCCCAGCCACUAGACCACAUGGGACUGUCCACAUAUGCAAGAAGGAGCUGAACGCUGCCCACCUGAGGAAAAACUAGGAAUUCUAACCACGAGACCAUAUGGGACUUCAGUUUCCUGGCGAUGACUGGCCUACUUGGACCUCAGACAAAACACAGAGGCCUGGAGGUGCAGCUGCUCUACUGGGCUCUCAAGACCAGACCCAGCAGCAGACCACGAGGUCCACUCAAGGCCUGCUGGGACACCAAGAGACCAAGACAGACAUGAGCGACAAGGUGAGUCCGGCAAGCGUGGGAUCAGGACCCCCCCCCCUCAGUCGAGGCCCCGCAUGCAGAGUGGGGAACAGGAACAGGCCCACUUCCACGGGUGCCUAAUUGAUGGCCCUUUAAAAUUCCCACAGAGGACCAAUCAGGGGUUUCAUCUCGGGGGCAACGCCGGGCUCAGAGGGGCCAGCCGGGGGCUUCUGGAAUAGAGAAGAGUGACAAGUGACAAGGAGGUGAGGAGCAGGAUGAAGAGGUGCUGCACAUGAUGAGGUUUUGCAUUUCAUUAUAUGAUUUUUUAAAAUCCAGGUAUCCUGCCAUAAUUCACUUUUAUUAAUUAUGAAGGAAACCAAGCUUGUAGACUGACUCAACAUAUGUUAUAAUUAGUGAUAUUAGCACCGAUGCCAUCGCGAAAACACAAGGGGUGACCUGGCUGGUCCACAACCUACACAUUUAAAGGGUCACUAAAAUAAAAUGUAUAUCAAUACUGCUAAUUAUUAUUUCUUUACAUACAUGAUGAGUAAACGUAUAUAAAUAAAUAAAUAACGUAAUUCCAUCUAUCCGUUUUCUAUGCCGCUUAUUCUCACUUCUAUUAUUGUCAUAAUAGAAGUAAUUAUUUAAUUUAAUUUAAUUUUAGUGCAUUUUUCAUUUCAAGUCUUAGCGCAUGUAAACAAAUGAUUGAUAGUGAAAAAAAUACUACAAUUUGGCACCAAAUGUAUUUGUGUCGGUCCACCACAAGUAAAUGAAUGUAUGUGAAACGCUGUACUGCAAUAGGAAGCAAUAGGAAACAAUCGUGCAACAGUAAAAAGUAAACCAGUUUGUUCCCAUCAGGUCAUCGCUCUGCUUUGUGUGAUAUGAAGAUGAAAGUAAAAGCAAAUGUAAGAUGACAAACUGCCCACCAAAAUCCUUCUUCUUGACUUGUCUGCCAGUGAUGAGAGGCUCUGACAAAUUGCAACGAGUGCUCUCUCACUUCACUUUGUCCAUUUCAAAUGCGUACUGAUCAAACAUAAGCAAUCGGUUUAUCCUAACAUCGUAUUUUCUGCACAGCCCUCGCAGACAUGAUGCAUCCUAACAAGCGCAUGCAUAUUGCAUCACCUUUACAUAUGUUUUUAGGGAAUAUCUCUUUUAUGCAUUAAUGCAAAUCCCGGGGAGUUUUUGGUGCAACAUUACUGGCGAUGAAGAUGCAAUGAAAACAGGCCAAUACAUUUCCAUUGGCUGAUGUUUCUGACAUUUAGACGCAACAGCCCC